rnacentral:lncRNA from 1 species
CUGGACCAGAGCCACAGUGGAAAUCUUGUACUUGGCAAGCAAGCUCCUUCAGCAUUGUUCCAUGUGAUCCCAAGUGAACCAAGCAAGAGGUAUUUGACCUACUUGGAUUCUGUGAAAAAUAUCUAUUGACAACACUGUGGGAGCUCAAGCAGUGAUUUCUUCAUCAGUAUCCUCUCUUUGAAAAUGCAUCAACCUGGGGAACCUCAGACAGCACAGGACUGGAUUCAGAAUCCUGCCUUCAGGAAGACCAGUGGUAAAAAUGAAUGUUUCAGUUAUGAUUGCCAUGGUCCUAACUUCUCCAGGCCUGAAAGACAAAGCUCCCCUUCCUUGUGCUGCAUUCCAUUGGACCUGCUUCUCACUUACCUAGUGUUCUCCUAGGAUUUUCUCAUGUCAUUACUGUGUUGCAGUUACUAUGAGAAAGCAGUAACAGGUGAUAGCUGCAAUCCAGGACGUCAGCAUAUCCAAGGACACAGUGUGGAAAUUGACUUCAGGACAUUCACUGACGAGCUUCCCCUACUAGGUCAAAAAUGUGUUUUUCCAACACCCAGAAUCAUGUCAUUUAGCAUAGAGAAGAUCUGCAUAUCUUAAGUGGGUGAUAUUUCUCUUCUCUACACUUUUCUAUGCCCAGUCUAUCACAAGUUUGAAAACUAAAAUCAGGUCUUGCCCGAAGUAUGUUUGAACUUGGGGAAUUACUUGGUUCUAGAUGUCAUUGCUGUGAAGUGUUGUUGGCUCCUCUCCUCCUGUCCCAAGAUUCUGCCAGGUGUAAAUCUCUGCAGACAUCUUGCCUUCUCCUUUCCCCCAAGCUAGAAAGCCCCUGUUGGCUAAGUAUGUGACAUACCUUACCAUCAUUAGUGCUAGAUUAAAUAGGGAAGGAAAAACCUUGAGAUGUAGUUCCUUCUGAUUAGGAGAUAGAUAUUCUUAAAUAUGUAAUAUAUAUAUAUAUAUAUGAAAACUAUGAGUAGAAUGAAGUCUGGCAGAAAAUCAAGGAUUUUUCUUUGAGAUGGACAAGUACACCCAGCCAGUGAUCACCCUAAAGUAAUUAAAUCAGUAACUGAACAGGUCUUAAUGAAGAUGAGCUCAUGAGCUUCACUUCUAGGGUGUAGGCACAGUGUCCAGUGGCUCUGAUGGGUCAGUCUGCUGAUCUCAGUGUGCUGGGAGGUUGAGGGAUCAUAAUCUUGUGUCAGCAUAGCCAGGAGAGAGCUGUGGAACAUGCAGAUACCAUGCACCUCCAUGUAUCACCUCACCCUAGCGUUGUCUUCCAUGGUUACAAAAGCUUGCAA